rnacentral:rRNA from 1 species
GAUGAACGCUGGCGGCGUGCCUAAUACAUGCAAGUCGAGCGAACAGACGAGGAGCUUGCUCCUCUGACGUUAGCGGCGGACGGGUGAGUAACACGUGGAUAACCUACCUAUAAGACUGGGAUAACUUCGGGAAACCGGAGCUAAUACCGGAUAAUAUAUUGAACCGCAUGGUUCAAUAGUGAAAGACGGUUUUGCUGUCACUUAUAGAUGGAUCCGCGCCGCAUUAGCUAGUUGGUAAGGUAACGGCUUACCAAGGCAACGAUGCGUAGCCGACCUGAGAGGGUGAUCGGCCACACUGGAGGUGAGACAGGGUCCAGACUCCUGAGGGAGGGAGCAGUAGGGAAUCUUCCGCAAUGGGCGAAAGCCUGACGGAGCAACGCCGCGUGAGUGAUGAAGGUCUUCGGAUCGUAAAACUCUGUUAUUAGGGAAGAACAAAUGUGUAAGUAACUAUGCACGUCUUGACGGUAACUGAUCAGAAAGCCCCGGCUAACUACGUG